GGGCAGUCUGGUUCCUCCUCUUUGGCAUGAUGCAGCAAUCAUGGUGGCAUGAUAAAGUGAAGAUUUUGAAAAUGGCUAACCAGCCAUGGGGGAAAGUAUGAUCAUUGAACAAAAUAGAAGAAUUUAAAGAAUUCGUAAAGAAAAGACCAGACCUGAACAGAAAAUUUGAUGUCCAACACAGAACUCAAGAGAAUCAUUGAAAGAGAAACCAACUCCUCUACCAGCCAGAGUCUUCUCAUCCUCAGGAUUCCAAACUCCUGUCCUCCCUCAUUGAGAUGAUCAGUUCCACACACUCUUCAGCCUGGCACUUUUCUUAUGUGCCAGCCUCUGUCACAAGAUUGAUGUGAGGUGUUUUCUCAUACUUGUGAAUCUAGGCAACUCAGAUAUCUUGUAUGAAAGGCAGUCCCAUUCUUUUCAGCUAGUUACUGUUUCUAUGUUCUUUUGACUGAGGGUUUGUGGGACAUUUGAGUCCACAUUAUGUCUGCUUUUAUCUUCUGCUAAUUCACCUUCCUAUUUUGCCUAACCUUUGUCUGCCCUUUUACAGAAAAGCAAAAAGAGAAAAUGCAUUUAUGAAGCAUGUAUCAUGUGUCGGGUUCUUUGCUUUGAACUUUAUGAAUAUAUCAUUUGAUCUCAUUAUCCAAAUUGCAUUUUUAAACCCUUUCAAGUCACUCUUUUAGACAAUGUGAUAAGAACCGAUCCUAUUGUUUAAUAAGCAUUUACUAAAUUGAAAUAUUCUACACAGAAAUUUCAUUUUAGUUUAAAAAUAAAUCCUAUGAACUUAAACCAUUACAUCUGUGGCUUUAAGAUCAGUUUUAUUUAUUGUUGUAUAAUUCAUUUAGCUUGGGCCAUUAAUUAAAAUAAAGUAACUGAUAGAGCUUCACUGACUUGUCUAAGUCUUCUAGUGCCACGGGACUUGACACACAUGCUAUUUAAGUCACUUGAACAUGUCAUUUAAUCUUUUGGCCUCAAUUUCUUCAUCUAGGAAGAUAAUAGUGUUGAGGUAGCUGGCCUCAAAGGUACUUUGAAAUUCGAAAUCUAUGAGUGUGUACACAUUCAUCAUAUUCAACUUUCUUUCCACUCGACCACCAUGUCUUCUCUGCUCUAAGAUCAGUCCAAUUAUCUUUGACUGUACAGACUUAAUUCACUAAUGUAGUAAAUCACUCAAUUGAUCUGUCUUGGGUUCUGCAACUAUAAAACCAGAUUUACAAUUUCUAUCCAUUUCUAUGUAAUUAAUAAGCAUGAGAAGGAAAGAUUUGGUUUCCCAGUGGGGAAAUCACUCACAUUAAAGAAAGUCAAAUGAUUACAGAGAACCACUACCAUUAAGUCUUUCAGAAUCAUUGAAUGAAUGGCAGUGACUUAAGCACUGGUGAACAGAGAAUUGGAUACAUUUGAAAAGUUCUUGGGAAGGAAAAAGGAUAUUUACACACAUUUGCAUAAAUUAUACUUGAAUUAUACUCUAUUUAAAAAUAAAACAAGUUAAUGCAUUCCGAACUAAUUGUAGAUUUGCCUCCAUAAGCUGAACACUACAUUCAACCUUCAAUAAAAGAAUUAUGUUCACUUAAUAAA